GACGAACGCUGGCGGCGUGCUUAACACAUGCAAGUCGAACGAUGAAGCCGGAGCUUGCUCUGGUGAAUUAGUGGCGAACGGGUGAGUAACACGUGGGUAACCUGCCCAUAAGACUGGGAUAACUCCGGGAAACCGGGGCUAAUACCGGAUAACAUUUUGAACCGCAUGGUUCGAAAUUGAAAGGCUGCUUCGGCUGUCAAUUAUGGAUGGACCCGAGUCGCAUUAGCUAUUUGGUGAGGUAACGGCUCACCAAGGCAACGAUGCGUAGCCGACCUGAGAGGGUGAUCGGCCACACUGGGACUGAGACACGGCCCAGACUCCUACGGGAGGCAGCAGUAGGGAAUCUUCCGCAAUGGACGAAAGUCUGACGGAGCAACGCCGCGUGAGUGAUGAAGGCUUUCGGGUCGUAAAACUCUGUUGUUAGGGAAGAACAAGUGCUAGUUGAAUAAGCUGGCACCUUGACGGUACCUAACCAGAAAGCCACGGCUAACUACGUGCCAGCCGCCGCAGUAA
rnacentral:rRNA from 1 species